rnacentral:ncRNA from 2 species
AACGCACCUUGCGCUCCUUGGUAUUCCGAGGAGCAUGCCUGUUUGAGUGUCAUUAAAUUCUCAACUCCUUUUGAUUUCGUUAUCGAAAGAAGCUUGGAUAGUGGGUUUGCUGGUGUCACCAUCAGCUUUCCUUAAAUGCAUUGGCAAAGGCGAUGGCACGAUAACGUCUUUCGGUGUGAUAAUGAUCGCCGUGGAUGGAAGUGUCCUUGUUCUCCUAUGCCUAUAACCCGUGUCGUUUGUUGCUUCAUUGCGAUGAAUACACUCUGAACCUUUUGACCUCAAAUCAGGUAGGAUUACCCGCUGAACUUAA